rnacentral:tRNA from 1 species
GGUGGCUCUGUGGUAGAGCACUUGCCUUGCAUGCAUGAGGCCCUGGGUUCGAUUCCCCAGCACCA